rnacentral:lncRNA from 1 species
UCCCGCAACGCCCAGGGGCAAACGCCGCUCUCUUCGCCCUAUAAAUUUGGCCUCGCCGCCGCAUCGAUCGCCAUGGCUCCUCCUCACCUGAGCUGGUGAACUACUCAUCACUCGCAAGCUCGCCUGAGCUAGCUAAAGAUCGCCGGCCGUCAGAGAGACAGAUAUAUAGCUGGUUGGUACGGAGGAGAUGGUUCACCGGGCGGCGGACGAGCAGGGGCGCCGGCGGCCGUCGGCGGCGGCACCAGGAUCGGCGUCGGGCGGAGGCGGGAGGCAGAAGAAGGUGGCGGCGGCGGCGGGGCUGGGG